rnacentral:rRNA from 2 species
ACGGGUGAGUAACGCGUGGGAAUCUACCCAUCCUUACGGAACAACUCCGGGAAACUGGAGCUAAUACCGUAUACGCCCUUCGGGGGAAAGAUUUAUCGAGGAUGGAUGAGCCCGCGUUGGAUUAGCUAGUUGGUGGGGUAAAGGCCUACCAAGGCGACGAUCCAUAGCUGGUCUGAGAGGAUGAUCAGCCACAUUGGGACUGAGACACGGCCCAAACUCCUACGGGAGGCAGCAGUGGGGAAUAUUGGACAAUGGGCGCAAGCCUGAUCCAGCCAUGCCGCGUGAGUGAUGAAGGCCCUAGGGUUGUAAAGCUCUUUCACCGGAGAAGAUAAUGACGGUAUCCGGAGAAGAAGCCCCGGCUAACUUCGUGCCAGCAGCCGCGGUAAUACGAAGGGGGCUAGCGUUGUUCGGAUUUACUGGGCGUAAAGCGCACGUAGGCGGAUCGAUCAGUCAGGGGUGAAAUCCCAGAGCUCAACUCUGGAACUGCCUUUGAUACUGUCGAUCUGGAGUAUGGAAGAGGUGAGUGGAAUUCCGAGUGUAGAGGUGAAAUUCGUAGA